GACGAACGCUGGCGGCGUGCCUAAUACAUGCAAGUAGAACGCUGAAGGAGGAGCUUGCUUCUCUGGAUGAGUUGCGAACGGGUGAGUAACGCGUAGGUAACCUGCCUGGUAGCGGGGGAUAACUAUUGGAAACGAUAGCUAAUACCGCAUAAUAGUAGAUGUUGCAUGACAUUUGCUUAAAAGGUGCAAUUGCAUCACUACCAGAUGGACCUGCGUUGUAUUAGCUAGUUGGUGGGGUAACGGCUCACCAAGGCGACGAUACAUAGCCGACCUGAGAGGGUGAUCGGCCACACCGGGACUGAGACACGGCCCAGACUCCUACGGGAGGCAGCAGUAGGGAAUCUUCGGCAAUGGACGGAAGUCUGACCGAGCAACGCCGCGUGAGUGAAGAAGGGUUUCGGAUCGUAAAGCUCUGUUGUAAGAGAAGAACGAGUGUGAGAGUGGAAAGUUCACACUGUGACGGUAUCUUACCAGAAAGGGACGGCUAACUACGUG
rnacentral:rRNA from 1 species